UACGUAGGGACCAAGCGUUGUUCGGAUUUACUGGGCGUAAAGGGCGCGCAGGCGGCGUGGUAAGUCACUUGUGAAAUCUCCGAGCUUAACUCGGAAAGGUCAACUGAAACUGUGCGACUAGAGUGCGGAAGGGGCAACUGGAAUUCUUGGUGUAGCGGUGAAAUGCGUAGAUAUCAAGAGGAACACCUGCGGCGAAGGCGGGUUGCUGGGCCGACACUGACGCUGAAGCGCGAAAGCCAGGGGAGCGAACGGG
rnacentral:rRNA from 1 species